GGGGGCUAGCGUUGUUCGGAAUUACUGGGCGUAAAGCGUACGUAGGCGGCUUUGUAAGUUAGAGGUGAAAGCCCGGGGCUCAACCCCGGAAUUGCCUUUAAGACUGCAUCGCUUGAACGUCGGAGAGGUGAGUGGAAUUCCGAGUGUAGAGGUGAAAUUCGUAGAUAUUCGGAAGAACACCAGUGGCGAAGGCGGCUCACUGGACGACUGUUGACGCUGAGGUACGAAAGCGUGGGGAGCAAACAGG
rnacentral:rRNA from 1 species